UACAGAAUCUACAGUCACAAUGACUCCUUUCAAUGUCCUCCUGAUUGUACUUGUAUUCUGCAUUCAUGACUCAAGAUGUCAGAUUUCUGUAACUCAGCCAUCAGCACCAAAGUCAGUAUCCAUUGGAGGGAGCGUCACCUUCAGCUGUACCACUGGGAGUGAUGUGAGUAACUACUUGAACUGGUAUCAGCAGAGACCUGGAGAAAAACCUAAAAUCCUCAUCUACAAUACAAACAAUCGCUACACUGACACCCCGAGUCGAUUCACUGGCAGUGGGUCAGGAACUUCAUACAGUAUGACCAUCAGUGGAGUCCAGUCUGAAGAUGCAGGUCACUACUACUGUCAGCAACAUAAAAGCUUCCCUUUCCCACAGUGAUUGAGACUCGUACAA